CUUUCAGCCUUGUGGAUCAGCCCAUCAAAUUAAACAACUCUCAGAUUUUGAUGAAGCUAAUAAAGAAUUCUCCUCCGUCUUCCACAAAAUUAAAGAACUAAGUACCCUCAGAAAAAUAAACUGUACCUAUGAUAUGAGGGAAAUUGGAUUGUGCACGUGCUUCAUGGAUCAUGUAUU